UCGAACGAGGUGCUUUUUGUAGCAAUACGAGGAGUAUCCUAGUGGCGAACGGGUGAGUAACGCGUGGGUGACCUACCCCAAAGUGUGGAAUAACAGUCCGAAAGGAUUGCUAAUGCCGCAUGUGGUCUGCGAGUUUAGAAAUCGUUGACUAAAGGAGCAAUUCGCUUUGGGAGGGACCUGCGUCCCAUCAGCUAGUUGGUGAGGUAACGGCUCACCAAGGCUACGACGGGUAGGGGACCUGAGAGGGUGGCCCCCCACAAUGGAACUGAAACACGGUCCAUACACCUACGGGUGGCAGCAGUAGGGAAUAUUGCACAAUGGGCGAAAGCCUGAUGCAGCAACGCCGCGUGCGCGAUGAAGGUCUUCGGAUCGUAAAGCGCUUUUCUGAGAGAUGAGAAAGGACAGUAUCUCAGGAAUAAGUCUCGGCUAACUACGUGCCAGCAGCCGCGGUAAAACGUAGGAGGCGAGCGUUAUCCGGAUUCACUGGGCGUAAAGCGCGUGCAGGUGGUUCGGUAAGUUGGGCGUGAAAUCUCCCGGCUCAACUGGGAGAGGUCGUUCAAUACUACCGGACUUGAGAGCAGAAGAGGAAGAUGGAAUUCCCGGUGUAGUGGUGAAAUGCGUAGAUAUCGGGAGGAACACCAGUGGCGAAGGCGAUCUUCUGGUCUGUUUCUGACACUCAGACGCGACAGCUAGGGUAGUAAACGGGAUUAGAGACCCCGGUAAUCCUAGCCGUAAACGAUGUGAACUUGGCGUUGGUGGGUUAAACUCCAUCAGUGCCGAAGCAAACGCGAUAAGUUCACCGCCUGGGGACUACGGCCGCAAGGUUA
rnacentral:rRNA from 1 species